GUUUGACCUAAAGUUCGCGCGCCAAUAAGUCAACAAUUUAUGCAUAAGAAUUUCGGAGCAUUAUAUUUAGGUGAAUACCCAUGUCUGCUGCUGCUCCGACAUCAUUAUAGACUACAGCGGUGCGUGCAUCAAUAUCAUCGCCUAUUGCCCAUCUCUUUGUGGAUUAGCUAUUGGAGUGUGCUUUGAUUUUCUGUUUUCGGGUUCAUAAGUCAAGCUGAGCUAUAGCUCUCCCGAAUGUCAUUAAUAGAAAUCAAUUGAAACCAAAAGAAAAGACAUAUGUAUGUAUGUAUGUAUGUAUGGCAUAAACAAUGCAAAAGACAUGACACUGCUGUUGAUCAGUAAUAAAUAAACUAUUGUAUCGUUCAAUUAAAUCGUCAAUUGACGGGAAAAUUCCGAAUUCUAAAGAAGAAGAAAAAAAUCUCAACCAAAAUUCAAACACAAAUUGAAAAUAAACGGUAAAAAAGUGUAUGCAAACAAUGAAGUGAGAAUAUGCGAGUACAUACCCACAAAGAAAAGACAGGAGACAAAUGACAAAAAAAUGCGAAAAAAUAUAUGAAAAAAAAAAUACCGAAAAUUUUAGCAUUUAACUAAAAAUAAACUGUGAGAGAAGGCAAAGUAAAGCAAAACAAAAACAAAUCAAAAUUUGUUGUGUGUGGUUUUUGCUAAAAAGAAAAACAAAAGAAAAGAAAAUUAAGGAAAAACCAGAAGCAAAUGACUAACUAUUUACUAAAAUUUUAGGAAAAAAAACCAAAACACUAAAGUGUUGUUUUAUCACUUGUCAAUAUCAUCAAGUUUUUCCCUAAAAAAUUAAAAUAAAAAAAUUAAAUAUAAGUGAAUUAAAAAAAUAUAUUAAAUAAAAACUAAAGUGAAUUUUGGAAUUAAA